rnacentral:lncRNA from 1 species
UAGGAGCUGAUGGGUCAAUUAUAGCACCACAACACGACUUAUAUGAGAAUCCUGUUACAUGGGCAUCAUACCCACCUUUAAUUUUCCCGAAUGUGGGUCUGAAUACUCCUACUUCUUCAUUGUCUGAAGGUAGGGUUAAUACUGUUACUUCUGGUAGUAAUAGUAUUACAACUCAAGCUGCACCCAUUCCUCAGGUAAUUAUAAUCUAUUUUUUGAAAAUUUCUCUGUUUUAGAUCAUGUUAUUGUACUCAUUUCUUAUACACCAAUUUUCUUUUUAGAUUAGAGGCCCUCAAGGCAUGCAGAACAACACGCCAGUGACUAACAGCAUA